rnacentral:rRNA from 1 species
GCUUCAGCUUGCUGAAGCUAGUAAAGUGGCGCACGGGUGAGUAACGCGUGGGUAAUCUACCCCUGAAUUGGGGAUAACAUUGCGAAAGUGAUGCUAAUACCGGAUAAUAUCUUAAAAACUUCGGUUUUAAAGAUCAAAGGUGGCCUCUACAUGUAAGCUAUUGUUUGGGGAUGAGCCCGCGUACCAUUAGCUUGUUGGUAGGGUAAUGGCCUACCAAGGCUGCGAUGGUUAGCUGGUCUGAGAGGAUGAUCAGCCACACUGGAACUGACACACGGUCCAGACUCCUACGGGAGGCAGCAGUGAGGAAUUUUGCGCAAUGGGGGAAACCCUGACGCAGCAACGCCGCGUGAGUGAUGAAGGCUUUCGGGUCGUAAAGCUCUGUCAAGUGGGAAGAACCCACAUGGUGAUAAUACCACUAUGUGCUGACGGUACCACUGAAGGAAGCACCGGCUAACUCCGUGCCAGCAGCCGCGGUAAUACGGGGGGUGCAAGCGUUAUUCGGAUUUACUGGGCGUAAAGCGCGCGUAGGCGGCCGUUUAAGUCAGAUGUGAAAGCCCGGGGCUCAACCCCGGAAGUGCAUUUGAUACUAUUCGGCUUGAGUAUGGGAGAGGGAAGUGGAAUUCCUGGUGUAGAGGUGAAAUUCGUAGAUAUCAGGAGGAACACCGGUGGCGAAGGCGACUUCCUGGACCAAUACUGACGCUGAGGCGCGAAGGCGUGGGGAGCAAACAGGAUUAGAUACCCUGGUAGUCCACGCAGUAAACGUUG